GUCCACGCGGUAAACGAUGGGUACUAGGUGUUGGGGGUAUUGACCCCCCCAGUGCCGAAGUUAACACAUUAAGUACCCCGCCUGGGAAGUACGGCCGCAAGGCUAAAACUCAAAGGAAUUGACGGGGGCCCGCACAAGCGGUGGAGCAUGUGGUUCAAUUCGACGCAACGCGAAGAACCUUACCUGGGCUUGACAUCUCUGGAAAGUCCUAGAAAUAGGACCGUGCCCGAAAGGGAACCAGAUGAGAGGUGCUGCAUGGCUGUCGU
rnacentral:rRNA from 1 species